rnacentral:rRNA from 1 species
UACGGGGGGGGCAAGCGUUGUUCGGAAUUACUGGGCGUAAAGGGCUCGUAGGCGGCCAACUAAGUCAGACGUGAAAUCCCUCGGCUUAACCGGGGAACUGCGUCUGAUACUGGAUGGCUUGAGUUUGGGAGAAGGAUGCGGAAUUCCAGGUGUAGCGGUGAAAUGCGUAGAUAUCUGGAGGAACACCGGUGGCGAAGGCGGCAUCCUGGACCAACACUGACGCUGAGUGAGCGAAAGCCAGGGGAGCAAACGGG